rnacentral:rRNA from 1 species
GAAAAGAAACCAACAGGGAUUGCCUUAGUAACGGCGAGUGAAGCGGCAAAAGCUCAAAUUUGAAAUCUGACGCCUCUGGUGUUCGAGUUGUAAUUUGGAGAGGCAUCUUCUGGAGGGGCCCAGCCUAUGUGCCUUGGAACAGGACAUCAUAGAGGGUGAGAAUCCCGUUCUUGGCUGGAUGUUCCCUCCGGUAUGUAGUGUCUUCUACGAGUCGAGUUGUUUGGGAAUGCAGCUCAAAAUGGGUGGUAAAUUUCAUCUAAAGCUAAAUACUGGCGAGAGACCGAUAGCGCACAAGUAGAGUGAUCGAAAGAUGAAAAGCACUUUGAAAAUAGAGUCAAAAAGUACGUGAAAUUGUUGAAAGGGAAGCGCUUGAGACCAGAGUCAGCCUUUGGCAAACAAUUGUCCUUCUGGGCGGUGCACUUGUCAUUGGUUGGGCCAGCAUCGGUUGGGACGGUGGGAUAAAGGCUUGGGAAAUGUGACUCCAUUACGGAGUGUUAUAGUCCCAGGUGGCAUGCCAUCAGUCCCGACCGUGGACCGCGCCUUGGCUCGGAUGCUGGCUUAAUGGUCUUCA